rnacentral:lncRNA from 1 species
UGGAGGUGGACAAGAGCCUGAGCAAGCAGACCUGGAUUUGGCACCGGUUCUGGCCUCACUGUCUCUGAGCUCAGGGGCAGGUUUGGCUAUGUCUCUGCAUCUCAGUUUCCCCUUCUAUAAAACAGGCCAGGCCUGGGAUGGGGAUUUAGCUCAGUGGUUUUGCCGCCUGCUGUGCAGUCGGAAGGACCCGAGUUCAAUCUCCGGUAACAAAAAAACCCCCAACAAAACAGGGCAGGGCUGAGUCCCUUGAGAGGUGCUGUCCUCCUCUUUAACUGCUGCAGGUCAAGUAGCCUCGAAGCAAGUCCAUGUGGUUGGAUACAAGGCCCAGGUCCCUGUCCGUGGCCAUGUAUGAAGCUAUUUCAGAAAUGGGUCCUGCUCUGUUAAGCCUCCGGACAACAGCCACCCCUGCCAACCUCCUGACUGCAAACUCAGGGCGCUGGUGCCACCAGCAGUGAAUAACAGAAUGAGACAGGAGAAAAGGGCUCAAGGCUCCUCAACAGUUUGAAGAGAUCCAGACUCUUAAUGUCUGCAGGACACAACAAUAUUGUGCUGUAAGGGCCAGUGCAGUGGCCUGGCUCAUCCUUGAAAGCAGGCUUGACACUCACCUCUGCAUCUCAGCUGACAGCCACGGAGCAGUGCUUGCUUCACAACAGAUUGAUGAGGCUGGGACUGCCUAGCUCGGGAGAUCCGUGCCCAAGACCAGACAGCCUCAGUCCUCAUCACUGCUGCCGCCGCCCAGGGACUUCAUGGUGCUGACCGGAGGGUUAACAACAGAAGGUCCCCAGAUGCCCCAGCCUGACAGUGAUGAUUCCAAGGCGGAAGAAGGGAGGGCUGUGCGGACGGCCUGGGCCUCCCUGUAGCACCCAGCACACUGCUGUGAGGACACGGCCUUCCCCAGACCAACCCAAGCAGACAACCCUUACUGCGAGUGCCUGGGAGCCCACGUGCAGCGCAUCAGUGUACAACCCUGCCACCGCGGCGCCCUUCUCCCGCUAGCUGAACACCCCAUUUACCUGGAGGAGACUCCUCUGGAAUCUACCUCCCCUGCCCAGACCUCUCUGUCGGGACAUCGUCUUGUGCCAGUGUGGUUCCUAGAACCAGCUGAGAAGUACACCUAGGAGCACAGAUGGGUAGAGAUCUUUGGCCUCCUCCACAGGACAUGGAAGGGAUCCGUAUCAUGCCGUGGUCAGUCUGGUUGUCCAGUGACUGACAUCCUCGGAGAUGAGAUAAAACAGAUGCAGUUUCAUCCAUGGACAAAAUCUCAACACUUUAUUCAUCCCUUGGCAGGGAGAGGGGGGCACUGCCCAGUCAGGUGGGGUGGCUGGGAUAUGUGUUGUCUAAAUUCCAGAUAGUAUACACAGCACUGAUCAUGCAGAAACAGGAAGGGAAGCAAUAAGUUAAAAGCCACAUAAGUUAUGAAAAAAUAAUAUAUACUUUAUAUAUCUCAUCCCACUGAGGAUUUGCUCCCUUGGAAACCAAUAAAGAGCCCGAGAGAAAGCAGCAAUCAGCACCCUCUUUGGGGACAUCAGGGAUGAACAGCUGGCCCAGCUCCCUUUGGCCUGAAAGAGUUGGUGGCCCAUCAGCACUGCCAAGGCCUUAGCCCACCC